AGAGUUUGAUUCUGGCUCAGGAUGAACGCUGGCGGCGUGCCUAACACAUGCAAGUCGAGCGGGUAGGUUCUUUAAUGAACCUUCGGGGGAUUUAAAGGACCGAAAGCGGCGGACGGGUGAGUAACGCGUGAGGAACCUGCCCUGUGCAGGGGGAUAGCCUCGGGAAACCGGGAUUAAUACCCCAUAAAACUCUAACAUCGCAUGGUGUAUGAGUCAAAGCAAUAGCGGCACAGGAUGGCCUCGCGUCCCAUUAGCUAGUUGGUGAGGUAACGGCUCACCAAGGCGACGAUGGGUAGCCGGCCUGAGAGGGUGACCGGCCACACUGGGACUGAGACACGGCCCAGACUCCUACGGGAGGCAGCAGUGGGGAAUAUUGCACAAUGGGCGCAAGCCUGAUGCAGCGACGCCGCGUGAGCGAAGAAGGCCUUCGGGUCGUAAAGCUCUGUCCUAAGGGAAGAAUAAUGACGGUACCUUAGGAGGAAGCCCCGGCUAACUACGUGCCAGCAGCCGCGGUAAUACGUAGGGGGCGAGCGUUAUCCGGAAUCACUGGGCGUAAAGGGUGCGUAGGCGGCCUUGCAAGUCAGGAGUCAAAGCCCUCGGCUCAACCGAGGUAAGCUCUUGAAACUGUAAGGCUUGAGUGCAGGAGAGGAGAGCGGAAUUCCUAGUGUAGCGGUGAAAUGCGUAGAUAUUAGGAGGAACACCAGUGGCGAAGGCGGCUCUCUGGACUGUAACUGACGCUGAGGCACGAAAGCGUGGGGA
rnacentral:rRNA from 1 species